AUUGAACGCUGGCGGCAUGCCUUACACAUGCAAGUCGAACGGCAGCACGGGGCAACCUGGUGGCGAGUGGCGAACGGGUGAGUAAUACAUCGGAACGUACCUUUCAGUGGGGGAUAACGUAGCGAAAGUUACGCUAAUACCGCAUAUUCUGUGAGCAGGAAAGCAGGGGAUCGCAAGACCUUGCGCUGAUUGAGCGGCCGAUGUCAGAUUAGCUAGUUGGUGAGGUAAAGGCUCACCAAGGCGACGAUCUGUAGCGGGUCUGAGAGGAUGAUCCGCCAGACUGGAACUGAGACACGGUCCAGACUCCGACGGGAGGCAGCAGUGGGGAAUUUUGGACAAUGGGGGCAACCCUGAUCCAGCCAUGCCGCGUGAGUGAAGAAGGUCUUCGGGUUGUAAAGCUCUUUCGGCCGGGAAGAAAUCGUAUCAGCUAAUACCUGGUGCGGAUGACGGUACCGGCAUAAGAAGCACCGGCUAACUACGUGCCAGCCGCCGCCGUAAGAC
rnacentral:rRNA from 1 species